AUGACCUGGUAUCAUCAAAGGUGUGAGGACGUUGGCGGGGUUUGGACUUGCAGAGGAUGGCAUUACAGUGGAUGCAGAUAUAAGAUGAUAAAAGGGCAAGCACAAAGCAAUCAGUGCCAUCAGGAAUUGCUAGCCAUUGCCUCAUUUGCUGUGACUGCAGUCUGUAGGAAUUUCCUACUCAUCUGGAUAAGAGGGCCAUCAAAAUCACGAUAUAUGUACAUAUCUGUGUCUGGUGAAUUUGAAAUUGUGAGUCUUACCAGUGGCACCUUUUGGACCUUUUAUAUCCGUCCAGAUUCAGAACUGGACAUGAGGUUCAUCCAAACGUUUGGGAACUGCAGAAGGUUAAUCAAAAUGGUUUUUGCAAAAAAGUUAACUGGUGGCAAGCAUAAUGAAAAUGCUGAAAUGCAUGGUCUCGUUUGGCACAUAAGACGGCUAUCCAGAUUCCAGAGGCAAUAUUACUGCAUGAUGAUUUGGUUUGUAUCCCAAUCUCUAGUCAUGGAGUUAGUGCAAACAUAUCGGAAAUUACACUAA
rnacentral:rRNA from 1 species